rnacentral:rRNA from 1 species
GAUAAACGCUGACAGAAUGCUUAACACAUGCAAGUCGAUGAUGGGAGCUAGCUUGCUAGAAGAAGUCAUGGCGGACGGGUGAGUAACGUGUAAAGAACUUACCAUAUAGACUGGGAUAACAGAGGGAAACUUCUGAUAAUACUGGAUAAGUUAGUAGUAGCAUUACUAAGUAAUGAAAGGUAGCAAUACGCUAUAUGAGAGCUUUGCAUCCUAUUAGCUAGUUGGUGGGGUAAAAGCCUACCAAGGCGAUGAUAGGUAGCCGGCCUGAGAGGGUGGACAGCCACAAGGGGACUGAGAUACGGCCCUGACUCCUACGGGAGGCAGCAGUGGGGAAUAUUGGACAAUGGAGGCAACUCUGAUCCAGCAAUUCUGUGUGUGUGAAGAAGGUUUUAGGACUGUAAAACACUUUUAGUAGGGAAGAAAGAAAUGACGGUACCUACAGAAGAAGCGACGGCUAAAUACGUG